GGCCGGCUGGCGCAAUGGUUAGCGCAUUACUUUCCGGUGUUUUGACGUCGUCUGGUAAAGGCUGUAAGUUCGAGUCUUACGUCGGUCG